AUUACCUUUCUAGAUACACCCUGGGCCAGAAGGGAAUCUGCUGCUUUAAAGAAAAGAUUCUAGUCCUGGCAGGAUUCAUCACCUGCUGACUCAAGAGCCCUUGGGCCCUGAAUAGCCAACAGUGAUACCCAGGUAAUGUGCUAUAGGCCUGGAGUAAGGCUCUGCGACAUGCUGGCUUCAGGAAGAGGAAGACAGAGCUCUUACCAGGGGGAGGCAGAGAUGGCACAGCAAGAGACAUGCCCCCAGAAUGCCACCAAUGCCCCAGGACAGGCCCACCCAUGGGACCAGGUUAUCGGGAUAACCUGGGAGGAUGGGGUGGAAUCUGAGGGGUGAGCCUUCUUCCCCAGGCUGGAAGUGGGCGACACGAGACUGGCACCUCUACAUCUGAUUGUCCCCCAAACCCAGCAUUUAUGUCGUGAGCAAAGAAAGAAAUCAUGUUACUUCUUCCAGCUGAUGUUCCACUUGUUUCUUCUGCUGUUUCUGUGGGGAGAGUCAAAUUCAGGUGACUGAGGGUGGCCCCCUCAGCUCUAUUCCCCAGACCAGGAAGCGGUAGGCAGGGGCCAGGAAUGGAUUUUAAAGGCAAAGUUCUCAGACCCAAUGGCAACACAAACUGGUCAACUCUCCUCAAGCUCCCAAGGACACAGGAUGUGGGUCUUUGUUGGUUUUUGCCCACAGCCACAGAACUCAAAGUCUGAAUCUGGAUUCUCUCAAAAGGACAGUAACAUAAACCUCCAGAGACGGAGUCUGAGAAAGGCCCACCCUUCUGCCAGCUUGUGAUUUAGAAAGGUGCGUUCAUUCAAUGAACAUUUACUGAGCACACACAGGCCAGGUACAGUUCUUCACAACAGAGAUACAGGACAGAAAAGGACAGACAGGAGGCCUUCGCCCUGAGGUUUCCAUUCUAGGGGACUUUAAAUCUCAGACUCUCAGAGCUAACAGAGACCUUUGAUACUCUCUACCUCCUCUGGAAACACAAGCCCAAGGAGGAGAGGUGGCUUGUCCAGACUCAAGGGCAAAUUAGAGACUGAGUCAGGGCAGAAAUAUGGGGCCCCUGACAACCAAUCAGGCUAGCGCUUCCCUGAGAGGUGACAACCCCAGGGCGUGUGUGGCAAGGACUGGAGCAGGGGUACCUGAAGAAGAGAGAGUCAGCAAAGAGGGCAGCAAUGGAAGAGCCAUGCUGCAUGCUCCUUGCUCUGGGGUCCCUCUAGGUGAGGCAUGGGCACCCCAGCUCUCCAUUUGUCCUUGGCACCAGGGGCCCCCAGCCCCUUUAUUCAGGGCCCCAAGGGGAAACUGGAGCCCAGGAUUGGCAGAGUGGAAUCAGGGGACUCUACUGGACUCUUACCAAUGACUAUGUUUUCAAUGAGUUGACUGAUUGUUGCAGAGCUCAAGUCCAGGGCUACUGCUAGUUCUUGGUACCGGCUCUGAGGUGCAUACAGAGAGGAGGAGUUGGAGGAGGACUGCAGGGAGAGGUAGAGAGAACAAUCAUUAGGGCUGGGGUGUGUGUGGGCUGUCUCAGCUGGCAGAGGGGCACCCAGCCCCCACUGUGAGAGGAGGUUGGAGGGCUGGCCUGCAGGGUCACUGCACCUCAGCCUAGGGCCUCUUACCUCCAGAUCCUUUAGGGUAGCAGAUGAUGCAGGGGUAAUAAAAAUGAGAAAUUCAAAGAAACAAAAACUUCCAUGGGAAACAGUUAUGGAUAUAGAGAAAGUAUAAAAACAGCAAGGGACUGGGCACGGUGGCUUGCGCAUGUAACUCCAGCACUUUGGGAGGCUGAGGCUGGUGGAUCACUUGAGGUAAGGAGUUCAAGACCAGUCUGUCCAACAUGGUGAAACCUCGUCUCUACUAAAAAUACAAAGAUUAGCUGGGCAUGGUGGCAGGUGUCUG
rnacentral:lncRNA from 1 species